rnacentral:rRNA from 1 species
UACGGGGGGGGCAAGCGUUGUUCGGAAUUACUGGGCGUAAAGGGCUUGUAGGUGGCCAACUAAGUCAGACGUGAAAUCCCUCGGCUUAACCGGGGAACUGCGUCUGAUACUGGAUGGCUAGAGAUUGGGAGAGGGAUGCGGAAUUCCAGGUGUAGCGGUGAAAUGCGUAGAUAUCUGGAGGAACACCGGUGGCGAAGGCGGCAUCCUGGACCAACACUGACACUGAAAAGCGAAAGCAUGGGGAGCGAACAGG